GGGGCAUUAGCUCAGCUGGUAGAGCGCCUCGUUUGCACCGAGGAGGUCAAGAGUUCGAGUCUCUUAUGCUCCACCA
rnacentral:tRNA from 1 species